rnacentral:lncRNA from 1 species
GGGAAGGGAAGGUUAUAACCACACUUUAGUAUGCAUUAAUUUUGUUAUUUUAGUCAACAGGAAAGUUAAUAGGAAGGGAGAAUACAAAUUCUGACCUGUAUAGAGUGAAAGGAAAAUAGUUAAGUACAGUUACCUGCAUUCAAAAGGUAGUUUAAUAGAGGGCAUUGGGGACAAUAGCUGUUUUUCCACAGUCACAGGGUGACAUAAAAACAUCUUGGGGCCAAGAAAAAAGCCUAAAGUGAGUGAGAGAAGCAUGUAAAUGAUGAGUAGAAUCCCUAUGCAUACUUUCUGCCUACGUCACAAUUUCCUCAGAUGAGAAAACAAAGGCAUGAAGGAAUUUGGUGACUUGUCCAAGGCCAUGGUGUAAGUAAAUGACCUAACCAUGAUACCUGGGCUCUCAAGAGUUAAAGUGACAUCUGUAGGCAUUUAAAGCCGACUGAU